CUUUCUUCACCCUAAAAUUAUAUAGUUAUAUAUAGUCGACCGACUAUGUAAACCGCUGAUUAUAUACAAAAAAGAACUUCAUCGACACCAACAACAAAAAUUACAAUUUAAUUCUUGAUAUUAUAAAUCAACUUGUAUAAAUAUAGAUCGAAAUAAAUAUUGAUAUUAUAUAUCAAAUUGUACAAAUAUAGAUCGAAAUACACAAUCACAUGCAUAUGUUCUUGAAUAAAGAACAAAAUCAUCAUUAUCACUCUAUAUUAAAAACACACAUAACCCAUACAUGACUAAUGUUACUAUGUGUUAUUAUAUAUGACUAUAGUAACCAAUGUUUUGAAAACCGGACCGGACAUCGAACCGGACAAGCAACUGGGUCACGGUUGGACCGGUCCGACCGGGGUCCGACCGGGUUUUUUCAUUUUUUUAAUUAUUUGUAUGACCAUAAAGUGGUAAUGAUAUAAAUAUGCACACAAAGUAUAUGUAUUAAUCAUAAAAUAUCAUUUUUAAGCAUUUAAUACUCAAAUAAUAUAUAAUUUUUUUUAAAUAAAAUUAAUGCAUACGCAUGAAUUUUAUACCAAAAAAAUGCAUAAUUGAAUCUUAUAUUUAAUAUUUACAUAAAGUUUGAUAGUCAAAUUAAAUUUAUGAUAGUAAAAUAAUUUACUAAAAAUUUCAAUACAAUUACUAAUUAAAAGCCCAAAGCCCAAACCCUAAUUUUUUCUAGCCUUAAUCUUGCGCCUCCAUCAGACCUUAUUGGCAUUACCCCACUUCCCAUCAUCCUCUUUCAACUAGUUAAUAUUCUCUGGUUAUUUUUUUUCCUUUCCCAUCUCUUUCCCAAGCACUGCCGUUACCUAUCUUUCAGCAAACCACACACAAAGAAAUGAAGUUUUCUGUCUAUCUCUCUCUCAUUUUAGUUUUAAUAAGGAACCGGUUUUUGGUGACGGGUUUUGCCGGUUUUGGGCGGUUCAACCGGAAAAUUUCCGGUUUUCAUCAAUCGACUCGGGUUUUUGGCCCUUUUGGGUUUAUGCAUCGGAUCGGACCGGCUGGAUGGCCGGUUCGCGGUUCAACCGGUUGGACCGGCCGGUCCGGUCCGGUUUUCAAAACAUUGAUAGUAACAUGUAGUCAUGUUACUAUAUGUUACUAUAUAUGACUAUAAUAACAUGUAGUAAUGUUACUAUAUAUGACUAUGUAACAUAUAGUCAUGUUACCAUAUAUGUAGUAAUGUUACUAUAUAUAACUAUAGUAACAAAUAGUCAUGUUACCAUAUAUGACUAUAGUAACAUGUAGUAAAGCACUUCUCCCCAUCAUUUCUUACUGUAUAGAAGAGGCAAAAACAACAAUCCCUGUGGCAAAGAAAAUACCAGUUAGAGAAAACAAAAAGAAAAAUGGAAAAUGCAAAUUACAUCGAACCUUAUACGAAAAGCUGUAUUUUUUUUCUUUUUUCUCAGAUAUGGCCAAUCAUAGUCAAAUCAAACCAACAACGUCGACCGAUUAUAAAAAAAAAACAAAAAAAAACUCAAUAAAUCCAGUAUCCAAACAAAUUCACCAAAAAUUAAUUAAAGGACAAAAAAAAAAAAAAAAAUCAAAACAAUUUGACAAAACAUCAAACACAAUACAACUAAUAUUAUUAAUAAAAUUAAAAUCACAUACACAAAACACUCUCUUCUAUUGAUACAGAACCUGCUGCCCGGUAUGUACUGACAACUAUGGGCGUAGCUUGCAAAGAAUGUUUAGCAUUAUCCAAAAGUAAGACUUAGCUCAUGAAACAUUUAUAAUUCCUUACUGUAUAGAAGUAGCAAAAACAACAAUUCCUAUGACAAAAAAAUACGAGUUAGAGAAAAAGAACAUAAAAAUGGAAAAUGCAAUUAUGCACAUUUGAGUGUUGACUUUUAAGGACAUAAUAACCAGUAGACACUUCGGCCAAUAACAGAGAAAACCACAUUAUCUGCCUCUUCAAACUCCAAACCUACAUUGAGUGUCUCUAUUUCGUUUUGCAGCAAUGAACACAAUAAGAUCGGACUUCUGUUUCCGACAUUACAAUUAAAAAUAGUAUUCUUCGCAGCUCCACUAAUUCCAAGACUCGCCUUAACAAUGAGUCCACCACCAUCACGAACAAUAUAAAAUAAAAUACCAAAUAAAUUUAGGGAGUAAUACAGUGAUUUCAUUUAUUACUGCUAAUUUCCUCAAACAAAACCAUUAGGGUCCAUUUGGAUGGGGGGAUUUGGGGAGGGAUUUGAUUUGGGGAGUGGAUUUGAAAUGACUCCAAUUUUGGAGUCAUUUGAAAUCCAUCACUAUUGCUCCAAAAUCAACUAAAAAGGAGGGGUGGGGAUUUGAAAUCCAUCUCCAAAUCCCUCAAUCCAAACAAGUUCGAGGGAUUUGUUAUUAUGGAUUUGAAAUCCCUCCCCCAAAUCCCUCCAUCCAAAUGCACCCUUAAAUUAUUGAGUUUUUUUCUAAAAUAAAUAAAAGUUUCAUCAGAAUCCAGUUGGUUCGCAUUUAACAUCGUCCUCAUUCAAAAUGCAUAUGCAAACAAGAGAUUAAAAUGGAUAUGUUAUUCCAAAAAUUAAUUAAUACCAACGAAUUUUUUUACGAAAAGGAUGCCGCCGUCCCUGCUCGCAGCCGCCUUGCGUAGACGCCGUCACCAAUUCUCUUCUCAUUGUGGACGAUGGGCGGAGAAGUCGCCGGGAGGGAGAGUCGCGCAAGGCAGAGGGAAAGUGGCGAAAGCCAAAAGGGGAACGGCGGUGGGCAGUGGUGAGCGGCAAAGUGGCGGUGGCGGCUGAGGGGUUGUGGGUGGAAGAGAACGAUGGUUGAAAC
rnacentral:lncRNA from 1 species